rnacentral:rRNA from 1 species
GACGAACGCUGGCGGCGUGCUUAACACAUGCAAGUCGAGCGGUAAGGCCCUUUCGGGGGUACACGAGCGGCGAACGGGUGAGUAACACGUGGGUGACCUGCCCUUAGCUCUGGGAUAAGCCUGGGAAACUGGGUCUAAUACCGGAUAUGACUCCAUGACGCAUGUUGUGGGGUGGAAAGCCUUGUGCGGCUAGGGAUGGGCCCGCGGCCUAUCAGCUUGUUGGUGGGGUGAUGGCCACCAAGGCGACGACGGGUAGCCGGCCUGAGAGGGCGACCGGCCACACUGGGACUGAGACACGGCCCAGACUCCUACGGGAGGCAGCAGUGGGGAAUCUUGCGCAAUGGGCGAAAGCCUGACGCAGCGACGCCGCGUGGGGAUGACGGCCUCGGUUG